rfam:Toxocara canis scaffold570, whole genome shotgun sequence.
CUUGGUUAUGGUGAUAUGGUUCCUGCAACUAUAAUGGGUAAAGUGGUCGGUGGUGUUUGUUCAUUGAGUGGUGUUUUGGUAAUUGCUCUUCCAGUUCCCGUAAGUAUAUUUCGU